GGGUUGUGAGGUUAAGCGACUAAGCGUACACGGUGGAUGCCCUGGCAGUCAGAGGCGAUGAAGGACGUGCUAAUCUGCGAUAAGCGCCGGUAAGGUGAUAUGAACCGUUAUAACCGGCGAUUUCCGAAUGGGGAAACCCAGUGUGUUUCGACACACUAUCAUUACGUGAAUACAUAGCGUAAUGA
rnacentral:rRNA from 1 species